AGUUCGUUAACUCCGGAUUAAGCUUUACAGGCGUUUACUGUGUGUAUCCAGAGAUCUGGAUUCUGACCGAGUGGCUGGAGCCAUUCUGUUUGACGCCUCCCUGUUAACUCCUGAGAGCCGCAGUCCCGCGGCUCUUUUUUU
rnacentral:ncRNA from 18 species